CCUGGACAUGGUGGGUUUACGGACAGAAUGGACUGUCAGUUGCUUGAAGCAGCCUGGUGUUUUACAAACAUAGCAGCAGGAAAGCCAGAAGAGACUAGAGCUUUGUUGACUGCUUUACCAUUGCUCAUUGCUCAUCUAGGAGGUUGGUGAUGGUUUCUGCAUUUUCCAUUCAAUGUGAAAGAAUGUAAAUGUCUCUUUCUUUUUCUUAUCAGAAAAAGCAAACGCUUUUUUCCUUUUUCUUCUUCUUUUUGUGUGUAGUAUUUUCUUUCUCCAUAUCCUCUUCAUAAAUUAAUACCGGAAAGUUGUUAUGGCUUUCUGAGACCUAAGAGUGACUGACAGUAAUUAAAGAUAUCAGGUUAAGUACUCUACAUUGAAAUUGGAUUACAUAACCAAGUAUGUCCAUUUUUUGAUCA